GCCUCGUUGGCGCAGUAGGCAGCGCGUCAGUCUCAUAAUCUGAAGGUGUUAAGUUCGAGCCUCACACGGGGCA
rnacentral:tRNA from 1 species